AUGACAUAUUACACUAGUAGUUUACAUCUGACGAGCAUAUGUCAGAUGUAAAACGCUAUAUGGAGUAGCCUUUACAUCUGGUACUAAUAUCCACUGAAGGGAAAAAUAUAUAGACAUAACAUUUUACAUCUGGUUCUAAUAUCACCAGAAACAAAACUGAAUGCGGUGGCAAUAUUGUAAUUAUGGCGAAAAUGAUCUAAAAUAAAUAUAUAUCUGACCAUAUUUAGAGUCAGAUGUAAGAUGUCAUGUUGAGUAAAAAAAAAAAAAAAUUUGGACAAACUGUGUUAAGUGCUUAAGUGAGAAACGCGUACGAUUCAUAUACAUCUUCGCAAACAAACCCUCAAGAACAGUCAACAACACUCACGCGAUUUUCCCAAAUCCUCAAGAACAACAAACUCUCAAUUCCUCUCUCGAUUCGAAACUCUCUCAAUCACGACAAUCCCUCACUCUCACUCGUCCUCUCUCACUCGUUCUCUCAAUUUCGUCAUCUCUCUCGGUGGUUCGCGAACCCUAGGUCCCAAAUCGAAGGUGGGUGAAACAAAUUGAAGCUUCUCUCAAAUCGUUUUUCUCCCUACAACUGAAAACACAAACAGGUAUGGAUCGUAGUUGGAUGAAAGCUAGUAGAUUAAGUGCCGAGUUUGAACAGGGAGUGAUUGAAUUUCUUCGAUUUGAUGAAAUCAAUCUUCCAAUUUGUCUUCAGGCCUUUCCACCAGACUCACCAUUAGCGGUUGACCUGUCAACUGCCAUUUUGGAGUUGGCAGAAAAUCGAGAUUUACAAAGAAUCCAUGACAAAUGGCUUUUGAGCAGUGCUUGUCGAUCACAAGGUGCAAAGCUUGAAGUGGAUAGACUCAAUCUCAGAUGCUAUAGUAUCGCUUUCUUGUACAUUGGUUGGGGACUAGAUGGCUCAGUUUGGAUUGUAUUAGAGUUGAAAGGGAGGAAUGAGGAUGGUGUACAUUUUGAGGUUUUACAACCUGGUCAUUUUGAGGUUUUGUAGAAGGUAUACAUUACAUGGAUCUCGGAGGCUAUUUCGAUCAACCCUUUAUGAUCAUAUAGUUUUGAGGAAUGCAUUGUGCUUUCAUGAGAUAUCCAGCCUUCAUGGAGGAUAGAACAACAUGUUUUAGAGGUCUUGUUAAUAUUUUUUCCAUUUGGCAGCAACUUGUUGACAAAAGUUUAAUACAUGUAUGUUUUCACAAAUGAGAGGAAGAAUUGAACUAUUUUUCAAGCAGAACAAACUUAGUAAAGAAGCAUGUCAGGGAUAUACUUCAGGUCAAUAUCUUGUUAAAAUUGCAAUAAUAGGUUCUAGGAACAUGUGCUUUGGACUUGAUUUCUUGACAGCACAAGAUGUUGUGUUUUUUGUAACGACCCAAAAUUUAGUAUUCGUUAUUUA